CCUACGGGUGGCAGCAGUGAGGAAUAUUGGUCAAUGGACGAGAGUCUGAACCAGCCAAGUAGCGUGAAGGAUGACUGCCCUAUGGGUUGUAAACUUCUUUUAUAUGGGAAUAAAAUGUUCCACGUGUGGGAUUUUGUAUGUACCAUAUGAAUAAGGAUCGGCUAACUCCGUGCCAGCAGCCGCGGUAAUACGGAGGAUCCGAGCGUUAUCCGGGUUUAUUGGGUUUAAAGGGAGCGUAGGUGGAUUGUUAAGUCAGUUGUGAAAGUUUGCGGCUCAACCGUAAAAUUGCAGUUGAAACUGGCAGUCUUGAGUACAGUAGAGGUGGGCGGAAUUCGUGGUGUAGCGGUGAAAUGCUUAGAUAUCACGAAGAACUCCGAUUGCGAAGGCAGUUCACUGGACUGCAACUGACACUGAGGCUCGAAAGUGUGGGUAUCAAACAGGAUUAGAUACCCGUGUAGUC
rnacentral:rRNA from 1 species